GAUGAACGCUGGCGGCGUGCUUAACACAUGCAAGUCGAACGGUGAACGAGGGAGCUUGCUCCCUCCGGAUCAGUGGCGAACGGGUGAGUAACACGUGAGCAAUCUGCCCUGGACUCUGGGAUAAGCGUUGGAAACGACGUCUAAUACCGGAUACGAGGCGUGGGGGCAUCCCCAACGCCUGGAAAGAACUUCGGUCCAGGAUGAGCUCGCGGCCUAUCAGGUAGUUGGUGAGGUAAUGGCUCACCAAGCCUACGACGGGUAGCCGGCCUGGGAGGGGGACCGGCCACACUGGGACUGAGACACGGCCCAGACUCCUACGGGAGGCAGCAGUGGGGAAUAUUGCACAAUGGGCGAAAGCCUGAUGCAGCAACGCCGCGUGAGGGACGACGGCCUUCGGGUUGUAAACCUCUUUUAGCAGGGAAGAAGCGAAAGUGACGGUACCUGCAGAAAAAGCACCGGCUAACUACGUGCCAGCCGCCGCCGUAAGAC
rnacentral:rRNA from 1 species